GAAAGUGGCGCACGGGUGAGUAACGCGUAGGAAUUUACCCAGCAGUACGGAAUAACCAUCGGAAACGGUGGCUAAUACCGAAUACGCCCUCCGGGGGAAAGAUUUAUCGCUGUUGGAUGAGCCUGCGUCGGAUUAGCUUGUUGGUGAGGUAAAAGCUCACCAAGGCGACAAUCCGUAGCUGGUCUGAGAGGAUGACCAGCCACACUGGGACUGAGACACGGCCCAGACUCC
rnacentral:rRNA from 1 species